GAUGAAGAACGUAGCGAAAUGCGAUAAGUAAUGUGAAUUGCAGAAUUCAGUGAACCAUCGAGUCUUUGAACGCACAUUGCGCCCCCUGGUAUUCCGGGGGGCAUGCCUGUCCGAGCGUCAUUGCCGCCCUCAAGCACGGCUUGUGUGUUGGGCCCCCGCCCCCCGGCUUCGGGGGGCGGGCCCGAAAGGCAGCGGCGGCACCGCGUCCGGUCCUCGAGCGUAUGGGGCUUCGUCACCCGCUCUGUAGGCCCGGCCGGCGCCCGCCGGCGACCCCAAUCAAUCUUUCCAGGUUGACCUCGGAUCAGGUAGGGAUACCCGCUGAACUUAAGCAUAUCAAUAAGCGGAGGA
rnacentral:misc_RNA from 1 species